rnacentral:rRNA from 1 species
AGAGUUUGAUCAUGGCUCAGAGCGAACGUUAGCGGCGGGCUUAACACAUGCAAGUCGAGCGAGAAAAGGGCUUCGGCCCUGAGUACAGCGGCGGACGGGUGAGUAACACGUAGGUAACCUGCCCUUCAGCGGGGGACAACAGUUCGAAAGGACUGCUAAUACCGCAUACGUCAACUGGGGCUCUGGCCCUGGUUGGGAAAGGUGGGCCGCAAGGUCUAUCACUGAAGGAGGGGCCUGCGUCGCAUCAGCUAGUUGGUGGGGUAAUGGCCUACCAAGGCUUAGACGCGUAGCUGGUCUGAGAGGAUGAUCAGCCACACUGGGACUGAGACACGGCCCAGACUCCUACGGGAGGCAGCAGUGGGGAAUAUUGGACAAUGGACGCAAGUCUGAUCCAGCCACGCCGCGUGAGUGAUGAAGGCCUUCGGGUCGUAAAGCUCUGUGGGGAGGGACGAACCGCCGAUGGCUCAUACCUGUCGGCAUGACGGUACCUCCUAGCAGA